rnacentral:lncRNA from 1 species
AUAUCGGGGGUGCACUGGCACAGAGGAAAGGCCAUGUGAAGCAAGAAGGCAGCCAUCUGCAAGCCAAGGAGAGAAAUUUCAGAAGGAACCAACCCUACCGACAUCUUGAUCUUGGACUUUAAGCUGCCAGACCUAUAGCUUCACACAUAAGGAACCACCUUAGCAUCCUUCACUCAAUGCUGAAAGUGAGCAUCUGGUCUGCCUUUGGGCCAAUGCUAAAUCUCUUCAACAGCAUCCUUUACCGAAGCAACAUUGUCCCAGAAUCUGCUGAAGCAGCAAGAAAAGAGGUCAGCAGUAGGACCAAGCUGCAUAUCUUCUUAGGCAGGAGUGCAUCACUAUUGAGGCCAAAUGGACACUCACUAGCAAGGUGGCUGGAAACAACUGUUCCAGAAAGAACCCAAGGAAAAAUUUCCAGGAGGAACCCAAACAGAAAAAUCUAUUUUAUACAUUUUCUACAGAAAAUGCACCCCAUCAUUGCUUAUAGCCCACCCACGUGGACUGCUCAUUCUGUGAAUCAUGUUUUACAGAAAUUGCCUUGAUGUUAGGAAUUAAAAAAACAAAACAAAACAAAAAACAUGGAGCCGUAUUCUCCAGAAGCUUACAUCUGAUUUAACGAGACAGCAAUAGGAAGCCAAAGGGUCCCUGCAGAGGAGGGUUGCAGCACGAUAACUCUACAGCUGGACAGAGACAGAUUGCAGGGGAGCAAGAAUGAAUGGCAGGCCAGCUGCCAGAAGCUUCUCACUCCGUGGAGACCUUGGAGUCGAGGAUGAAAUGUCUUACAACUGUGGGGAGACCUUGGCUUUUCCAAAGCCUACCAGGGUCCAGCCCUAUAUUCUGCAACUAUGCUGGCAGAUUUAGGAGGUGAUAACUGCUGGGAAGAAGUUGUUAAAGAGAGAACUCAGAGCCCCCAUGCUCCAUCCUCAACCACUGGCUGACAGGGAAGGACUCCAAGCAGACAGUGGGUGAUACUGUUGCUACUGGUCUUUGAGAACUGCUGACUUACAAUGUAUGGACAGGUAAAUAGGGUUCAUUCUCCAGCCACCUCUCAUCUACCAAAGAAAGUGCAGGCUCCUGUAGCAUGUAAAGGAGGACUUGGAAGCUAAGGCCCAGAGAGGAGGAGAAACUUGAUCAAAGUCAAUCAGACAAUGCAGAAUCGAGAAAAGUACCUGGACCUCUAUGCCCAUGCUUCUAGCAGCCAGCCUCCUAAAAUACCUCUAGUUGAAGCCAAAGUUAGAAUCCUUCUACGAAACUACAGGAUUAAAAUGGAAUGGUUACAUGACCCAGGCUUGACCAAUCAGAUCAUCCAAACCCUUUGCCACAGUGAUUGGUCCAGGGAUACAUGCAUGAGCCAGCUCAGUACGCAAGGCCCAAACAAUUGGUGAUAAUGAAGAAACUCUACUACCAGACGUUGCGGGAUGCCUCAAUGACCUAAUCCAGUAAAUCACAGCUCCAGCUGUCCAUGAGCUCUGUCUACCAUCUGAGGAAUUGUUUCUUUUUAAUACAAAGACUGGCACUCAUCAGAUAAUAAUUUCUGGGAUAGAAGCAAAGUAUUGGUAUUUCUUUAAGUCUCUUGAAGGUGAUUCUACUGAGCUGGGAUUAAGAACACACUGCCUUAAUCCUUUCAUCAUCAACAAAA